rnacentral:rRNA from 1 species
UACGUAGGGUGCGAGCGUUGUCCGGAAUUACUGGGCGUAAAGCGUGCGUAGACGGUUAUGUAAGUCGGGUGUGAAAGCCCCGGGCUCAACCUGGGAAUUGCAUUCGAGACUGCGUAGCUAGGGUGCGGAAGAGGGAAGCGGAAUUUCCGGUGUAGCGGUGAAAUGCGUAGAUAUCGGAAGGAACACCAGUGGCGAAAGCGGCUUCCUGGUCCAGCACCGACGUUCAGGCACGAAAGCGUGGGGAGCAAACAGG